AACCGUAAUGCUAGAGUCAGAGUGUUCCAACCUGGAGACAAGGUCUUGGUUCUGGUCCCUACUGUGGAGAACAAGUUCCUUGUGACUUGGCAUGGACCCUAUGAAAUAAUAGAAAAGGUGAGUGAUAUCAAUUAUAAAGUCAGACAACCAGGAUGAAGAAAGCCUGAACAAUUGUUUCAUAUAAAUCUGUUAAAGCCAUGGAAAGACAGGGAGGUCCUGGUUGCUUUAAAACCUUCAGAACCUCCUAUAGUAGAGCCGGAGGUAAACGUAUCUGAGACUCUGUCUGUACAUCAAAAGCAAGAGGUCAGAGAUUUAAUCAGAAGAAAUAGGGAUGUUUUCU